UACGUAGGGGGCAAGCGUUGUCCGGAUUUAUUGGGCGUAAAGAGCGUGUAGGCGCCAGACAGGUCCGUUGUGAAAACUCGAGGCUCAACCUCGAGACGUCGAUGGAAACCGUCUGGCUAGAGUCCGGAAGAGGAGAGUGGAAUUCCUGGUGUAGCGGUGAAAUGCGCAGAUAUCAGGAAGAACACCAAUGGCGAAAAGCAGCUUUCUGGGACGGGUACUGACGCUGGAGACGCGAAAAGCGUGGGGAGCGAACAGG
rnacentral:rRNA from 1 species